UACGGGGGGGGUAAGCGUUGUUCGGAAUUACUGGGCGUAAAGGGCGCGUAGGCGGCCUGCUAAGUCGAACGUGAAAUCCCCGGGCUCAACCCCGGGCGGCCGCCCGAAACUGGCGCGCUUGAGGACGGAAGAGGGGAGUGGAAUUCCUGGUGUAGCGGUGAAAUGCGUAGAGAUCAGGAGGAACACCCGUGGCGAAGGCGGCUCCCUGGUCCGUCCCUGACGCUGAGACGCGAAAGCGCGGGGAGCGAACGGG
rnacentral:rRNA from 1 species